rnacentral:rRNA from 1 species
UACGUAGGGUGCGAGCGUUGUCCGGAAUUAUUGGGCGUAAAGAGCUCGUAGGCGGUGUGUCACGUCGGCCGUGAAAACCUGCAGCUUAACUGUGGGCGUGCGGUCGAUACGGGCAUCACUGGAGUUCGGCAGGGGAGACUGGAAUUCCUGGUGUAGCGGUGAAAUGCGCAGAUAUCAGGAGGAACACCGGUGGCGAAGGCGGGUCUCUGGGCCGAUACUGACGCUGAGGGGCGAAAGCGUGGGGAGCAAACGGG